GUGCUUGCUUCGAUAGCACAUAUACUAAAAUUAGAACGAUGCAGAGAAGAUUAGCAUGGCCCUUGUGCAAGGAUGACAUGCAAAUUCGUAAUAAAUAAAUUUUU
rnacentral:snRNA from 1 species